UACGGAGGGUGCGAGCGUUGUCCGGAAUCAUUGGGCGUAAAGGGCGCGUAGGUGGCCCGGUGAGUCUUUGGUGAAAGCGCGGGGCUCAACCCUGCGUCGGCCAGGGAUACUGCCGCGGCUCGAGCACUGUAGAGGCAGGCGGAAUUCCGGGUGUAGCGGUGGAAUGCGUAGAGAUCCGGAAGAACACCGGUGGCGAAGGCGGCCUGCUGGGCAGUGGCUGACGCUGAGGCGCGACAGCGUGGGGAGCGAACAGG
rnacentral:rRNA from 1 species